GCAGAUAGCUCCAUCGGUAAAGCAUGAGACUCUUAAUUUCAGGGCUGUGGGUUUGAGCCCCAUGUUGAGCA